UGGGGAAUAUUGCACAAUGGGCGAAAGCCUGAUGCAGCGACGCCGCGUGAGGGAUGACGGCCUUCGGGUUGUAAACCUCUUUCAGCAGGGACGAAGCGCAAGUGACGGUACCUGCAGAAGAAGCACCGGCCAACUACGUGCCAGCAGCCGCGGUAAUACGUAGGGUGCGAGCGUUGUCCGGAAUUACUGGGCGUAAAGAGCUCGUAGGCGGUUUGUCGCGUCGUCUGUGAAAACCCGCAGCUCAACUGCGGGCUUGCAGGCGAUACGGGCAGACUUGAGUACUGCAGGGGAGACUGGAAUUCCUGGUGUAGCGGUGAAAUGCGCAGAUAUCAGGAGGAACACCGGUGGCGAAGGCGGGUCUCUGGGCAGUAACUGACGCUGAGGAGCGAAAGCGUGGGUAGCGAACAGG
rnacentral:rRNA from 1 species